rnacentral:sRNA from 1 species
AUUAUUGACUUGCGUGUUUUCUCCUCAGAGGUCUGGCUCUAGCCAACACUUAUGCCUCGACCAGCUACAAGGACGAACUGUGUGAGGCAGGCGUGUGGUUGUAUCGGGCCACUCACAACCAAGUCUACCUCAACAACGCUAAAACUCAGGCCGAGUCAGGCUACAUCUGGGCCUUGAACCUGGAGAACAAACAACUGUCUUGCAAUCAGCUCUUAUAUGAGGAAACCAAAGACAACGCCUACAGGACGGUGGUGAUUAACUAUUUUAACAGUUGGUUCCCUGGUGGAG